rnacentral:misc_RNA from 1 species
AGACUGCUGAGAAAGAAAAGUAUUUAUUUAUAUGCACUGAAAAUAGCUGCAUAAAGUUUAUUAAGAGUAAUUUUACAAUGGGUUGAAGGGUAACCUAUGACUUCAAAGAGGUUGGCAUUGCAAGGUUGACUGCAGUUCCCCCAGCUGAGUCUUUCCAUUGUUGUGUCACUGUUUUGAUCUGUGUGAAGAAGUUGACCCCAGCCUUGCCAUAAAAAUUGAGAUCCCCAGCAAAAGAUGCCUUGGAGCCGGUG